GGCGGCGUGCCUAAUACAUGCAAGUCGAACGAGUUCUCGUUGAUGAUCGGUACUUGCACCGAGAUUCAACAUGGAACGAGUGGCGGACGGGUGAGUAACACGUGGGUAACCUGCCCUUAAGUGGGGGAUAACAUUUGGAAACAGAUGCUAAUACCGCAUAGAUCCAAGAACCGCAUGGUUCUUGGCUGAAAGAUGGCGUAAGCUAUCGCUUUUGGAUGGACCCGCGGCGUAUUAGCUAGUUGGUGAGGUAAUGGCUCACCAAGGCGAUGAUACGUAGCCGAACUGAGAGGUUGAUCGGCCACAUUGGGACUGAGACACGGCCCAAACUCCUACGGGAGGCAGCAGUAGGGAAUCUUCCACAAUGGACGCAAGUCUGAUGGAGCAACGCCGCGUGAGUGAAGAAGGCUUUCGGGUCGUAAAACUCUGUUGUUGGAGAAGAAUGGUCGGCAGAGUAACUGUUGUCGGCGUGACGGUAUCCAACCAGAAAGCCACGGCUAACUACGUGCCAGCAGCCGCGGUAAUACGUAGGUGGCAAGCGUUAUCCGGAUUUAUUGGGCGUAAAGCGAGCGCAGGCGGUUUUUUAAGUCUGAUGUGAAAGCCCUCGGCUUAACCGAGGAAGCGCAUCGGAAACUGGGAAACUUGAGUGCAGAAGAGGACAGUGGAACUCCAUGUGUAGCGGUGAAAUGCGUAGAUAUAUGGAAGAACACCAGUGGCGAAGGCGGCUGUCUGGUCUGUAACUGACGCUGAGGCUCGAAAGCAUGGGUAGCGAACAGGAUUAGAUACCCUGGUAGUCCAUGCCGUAAACGAUGAAUGCUAGGUGUUGGAGGGUUUCCGCCCUUCAGUGCCGCAGCUAACGCAUUAAGCAUUCCGCCUGGGGAGUACGACCGCAAGGUUGAAACUCAAAGGAAUUGACGGGGGCCCGCACAAGCGGUGGAGCAUGUGGUUUAAUUCGAAGCAACGCGAAGAACCUUACCAGGUCUUGACAUCUUUUGAUCACCUGAGAGAUCAGGUUUCCCCUUCGGGGGCAAAAUGACAGGUGGUGCAUGGUUGUCGUCAGCUCGUGUCGUGAGAUGUUGGGUUAAGUCCCGCAACGAGCGCAACCCUUAUGACUAGUUGCCAGCAUUUAGUUGGGCACUCUAGUAAGACUGCCGGUGACAAACCGGAGGAAGGUGGGGAUGACGUCAAAUCAUCAUGCCCCUUAUGACCUGGGCUACACACGUGCUACAAUGGAUGGUACAACGAGUUGCGAGACCGCGAGGUCAAGCUAAUCUCUUAAAGCCAUUCUCAGUUCGGACUGUAGGCUGCAACUCGCCUACACGAAGUCGGAAUCGCUAGUAAUCGCGGAUCAGCACGCCGCGGUGAAUACGUUCCCGGGCCUUGUACACACCGCCCGUCACACCAUGAGAGUUUGUAACACCCGAAGCCGGUGGCGUAACCCUUUUAGGGAGCGAGCCGUCUAAGGUGGGACAAAUGAUUAGGGUG
rnacentral:rRNA from 1 species